UCACACACAUAGAAAGCUAAUAGUAAUGGAUAACAACUUUGAAAAGACACGAAAGGAAUAUUGAAUUUUUAAUUAUCGUGGAAAUUUUAGGUACUCGCUCUUCAUCGCAUUGAAAUCAAAUGAGAAUUCCUUUUUGAUGCCUAUCAGUUAAAUGAAGAUUAAAGUGAAAUGUGAAUCACAUGCACCUUGAUAAGGACUGGCGGUGUGGAUUUAUAGCUGUUUGCAUUAUUACUUUUUUUUUUUUUUUUUUGCUCAACUUCAACUGAUUCAUUCACCCAUAAACUUGGUACAAGACAUUUUGACACACAAUGUUUCUACCACAUAUACAACACUGCAUCUUAGCAACACUCUGGAACACUCACUAGGUGAAAACUCACUCGGAUCCAGCGCAGCCUAGAGUACAAUGCUGUAUUUUUAACCACAGUGAGAUGAGAGAGCUCCACGACUCGAAGCAAACCAUCUCUUAAACCACCUAAUUAGACCUCAUGAUACAGACACGUUUACUAACUUAAUGAGACAAUCCUAAAAACGAGAUUACAAAUUAUACCAAGCUGUUGGUCCCUUAAGAUCGGCGUGAUAAACUUGACCCAACAACAUCAUCACCUUAGGCGUGUUCCCGCAUUAGUUUUGUACCACCAGCUUUCAACGUGCUGAUCCUCAGCCAUAAAACCGGACAAACCUAUCCGGAAUGAAAGAUCGAGCCUUGGUAGCCAGCACGAACCGGAACUGUGAAUCCAAGUUUCCAGCGGUGUGGGGCUCGGACCACCGACUAAAUUGAUUUUCGCCGGCGCUGGGAUGUCGAACCACCACCACGUACCCCUUAAAGGUAAGCUCCUCCAGUCGACCACUCCUUCGUCGCAGACCUUCGGUACAUGUUAUCCCCGAAAACCAGAAGACAAACCACCUUUCACUCGCCGUCAAUCCUUGCCUCCGAAAGUCUCACCUCCAUGUGCGAAGGUAGAUCCAUGACGGAGAACUCAUCACACCGAGUCACGCGCCACCACCGGUUAGGAAUCGCCACAGAUCUGUAAAGGGAAAAUCAGAUCUUGCUCAUCCUCAAGCUCUAAACGCCGACCCACUUCUCUUUCGUCGCCACCACAGCCUCGCCGCUGUUCCAGAGGGAGCCGGAAUGCGACGCCAACGGAUCCGGAGAUCCGCCGGGAAAAUCCCAACUAACCCAGAAUCAACGAGCAAGGAGACCAGAUGAAAGACAGAAAAGAAGAGAGCAAAGGAAAAAGGAGAUGAGGGGAAAGGAGGAGCCUCCGGCACCGGCACCGCCGGACCGGAGUUAGGGUUUCACGGCUUUGAUGUUAGAGAUGGACGAGAGCGUUUGUUAGAGAGAGAAGUUUUUUUCUAAUGAUUUUCUAAUGAAUGUAAAAAAAUAUUAUUUGCAUUAUUACUUUACUAGGGAGCGUCCGCGGUUAGCACGGAAUAUUGUUUUAUUGUUAUUAAAAUUAUGAUUUUUUGGAUAAUGUAAUUAUGUGGUCACUUUUAUUUAUUAAGAACGUUAUUUAGUAUUUUUAUUGUGUUAUGUAGUAGUAAUAGUGAUAUGUAAAUAUAUUUUGUCUUUUUUUCUUUCAAUAUUGAGUUUUGUCUGUAUAGUAUUUGUUAGUACUGAAUUGAGCCUAUCAGUAAAAAUAUAUUGAAUUUCAAUAACUUUGCAUCUAUACAUUUGUUGAUUCUAAGAUUAACACUUUCAGCGUCAAAAUUUUCUUUUUUUCAUAUUUUUUCAUAUUAUAAUUUUCAAGAUGUUUUUGCUUUUUUCCCAUAUUUAAACAUUGAUGAGUCUUCAACAUCUAUGUAUUUUGUUUACCUUUAUGGUAUGUGGUGUUUCUCAUCAUCACCGAAAAAGACUCACCUCCUGCUCUUGUUCUUUAUCACCUUCUUCACCUUGAGAUUUCUGGUAUUUGUUGUAGAUCGGGUUUAGGAGUUCCCAGUUGUGCGGUUGUUUCUCGCGUCGUUUUAGGCUGCUCCAUUCAAUAUUGGAUGCUUCUCUUCUUCCUUAGAUUUCAGCUGAUGUUAGGAAAUGCAUCUCUUUGGGUUGAGUCAUAGUUUAGUCGUCAUUGAAGUUGUUUUCCUCGUCGUUGGCUUACCAUCGAUACUCUCUUCUCGUCUUGGUUUUCAAGAUAUGAUUUUUGGUGAUCUGACUUCUAUAACUCGAGGACGGUUCCACAAUUUGAUGAUUUCGUUUUGUCUACCCUUCCAUCUAUGUUCCCUCAUCUCGUUGCAGCUUUCAUCGCUGCUUGCGUCUAUGUGACUCUCCCUUUCACCAUGUUUGCCACUCCAGGUUUGGAUAGUGUUCUCCUCCGAGUAUGCUCUGUAGAUUUGGAAGAUUGUUAAUGGUCUCAAGUCUGGGCUCAUGUUUCUUGGGGUUGGCUUCCGUUCUCCCUCACUCAUAUUGUUCUCUCUUCCCUUGCUUCUUUUAGUAUAAGUGUGCAGUAUCAGUCUAUUAGAGCUUUGGUCCUUUUAUCCAGAGCUUUGUGGUGCUUCACCGGUAUAGCCGUCUUGUUUGUGCUUGUUUAGUUUACGAGGUGCUUCUUACAUCUUAGCUGGUGGUUGUGCUUAUCGUUCGUUAUGUAUGUCUCUUCCUGCUUCGUGGUGAUUUUGGCCUUAUGUUGAUUAUUCUUCCUCUAACCCGCUUUCUUGGUUCUUUGCAUUGGUCCUUGAUCACACUCAUUUGUGUUUGACGGAUUGCUUUAUCUCAAGAUUAUCUUUCUACAUUUUACUGAUUUUUGAUUGUUUUGGCCAAGACACUCUAUGAUAAAGUGGGGUAAGUUAGUUUUCGUUCUUGAUCGCCUUUGAGCUCUAGACCUUUAUUGAGUUAGUGUUACUUUGGCAUUUUUUUCUCUGUGAUUAUGGAAGUUUUAUGUUUAGAUUACAUGUUCUGCUUUAGUUUAAUUAAUAUUAAGAUAAAUAUAUAGUUUCAAAUGAAAUAAUAGAAAAUAGUAAAAAAUAAUAAAAUAGCAAAAGUUUAUGUUAUUUUUAGCUGUGAAUAAAUUAAAUAUUUAAAUUAUAUUUAUAUUUUUUACUUAUUUCUUUAUUCGUUUUGCAAUUUUUUGAACAAUAAAAUAGAUUAAAAUAGAUUAUCAAACUUCAAAUGUUCAUGGUUAGUGUAAGAAGGAUUAGAAAGUGUAUAAUUAGAAAAUAGUAAACCAAAUUACAUUAAUCUAAAAGAAGAAAGAUCUAAAAUGUAAAAAGACAAAAAAAGAGGACAUAUGUCAACAAAUCCCCUAUCCACAUGUCAUAAGAAGAGAGAAAAAUCUACUUUUUAUAUAUAUAUUUAUUACUAGGAUUUAAUUUGUGCUAUGUGCAGGCUAUUUUGAUUUUUAAAUGUUAACUAUAUAGCUAUUCUUUUGGACGUUGUAUUUUGAACAACAACAAAAUUUUGAAUUGUAUGUUUAUGUGAAUACAUAUUUCCUUAGAAAAAACCAGAAAACUGGGUCUGACUGGUGACCAUUCGGGAAACAAGAGGAACGAAUAGAAAAUGAAUAUACAGGAAUAAAAUAGCAGGAAUGAAAAUGAAUGGUUGUUCAUUCUCAAAUUUAACAAGGAAUAAUUUUGUUCUUUAAUUCUCUACAAAAAAAAGGAAUGAGAGGGAAUUAUUAUUCCUUGUGAAUGAUGAUUUUUUAUAGGAAUGUUAGGGAAUGCAUUAUUCUUCAUCAUUCCUUGGUCACCAUUCAUACCCAUAUAUUUUUCAGAUAGAUGUUUGAUAUAGUUUUCCAUUUUUUAUAUUGUAUAUUUACUUAUUAUUUAUUUUUCUUAUAUUGUAGGGCAAUUCUCUCAAAUAGCCAUUUUAAAGUUUUUGUCAAAAUAACCUUCAAUAAAGAAAAUGACCAAAAUAGCCAUUUUUAUUUUUAAAAUUUUAAUUUUAUUUUAUUUUUUAAAAUUUGAAAUUCUAUACUCAAAACUCCACCCCUUAACUCUAAACUCUAAGUCCGGAUUAGUUAACCCUGUGGUAUAAAUAUAUUUUUACUCUUUAAUAAAAUUUCUUUUGGUCAUUUUUCUCAUUGAUGGUUAUUUUUGUAACAAAAACUAAAAAAAAUGCUAUCCUAAGUAAUUUCUCCAUAUUGUAUAUUUAUUAUUAUAAUUUUCUUUCUCUUAUAUCAGAUCGUAAUAUUACGAUAAAUGUUUAAUGUAAUGUUUAUGAUUCUUAUAUUGUAUAUAUGAUUAUUAUUUAUUUAACUAUACAUUUUUUAGAUAGAUGUUUAAUUUAGUUUUUCCAUUUUUAUAUUGUAUAUUUACUUACUGUUUAUCAUUUCUUAUCUUGUAUGUUUACUGAUUUUAAAUUUCUUGCUUUUAUAUCAAUGAUAAUAUUACGUUAUAUAUUUAAUGUAAUAUUUUUGUUUCUUAUAUACUAUAUUUACUUAUUAUUUAUUUUUUCUUAUAUUUUGUAUUUAUUUACUUAUUAUAAUAUGUAACAUUUAUAUUUCUUAUAUUGUAUAUUUACUUCUUCCUAUAUUGUAUAUAUAUUUACUUAUAAGAUUAUUUGAAAAUAAUAAAAAUGUAAAAAAAUAAAUUUUCAGAUAGAUUUUUAAUAUAGUUUUUCUAUUUCUUAUAUUGUAUAUUUACUUAUUAUUUAUUUUUUCUUAUAUUGUAUAUUUACUUAUUCUAUUUUUUUGUUUUUAUAUCAAAUGGUAGUAUUACGUAUAAAUGUUUAAUGUAAUAUUUAUAUUUUUAUAUUGUAUAUUUACUUAUUAUUUAUUUUACUGUAUGUUUUUCAAAUGUUUAAUGUAGUUUUUAUAAUUCUUAUAUUAUAUAUUAACAUGUUUAUUAAGGUUUUCUACGCUGAGUCAAGAUAUGUAAAACUCAUAUUCUUAAAUAUGUUUUUUUGUCUUUGUUUUACUAAAUUUGACUAAGUUUUUAACACAAACUUGUAAAAAUUGUGAUAUGUUUUGACUAAUUACUAUUGUUUGUUUUCAUCUCUUAAAUAUGCACCAGUGAUGAUUAUUGCUAUGUGUGGGUAAAAUAUUUGUUUCUUAAAAAUGUUGUAUCAAUGACUUUAGUAUCAUUAUUGUUAUAUGCAUUAAUGAUGUUUUUUGCUAUGAGUGAGUAGAAUGGUUAAAAUAAUUCUUAAUAUGUUAUAUCAAUGAGUUAAGUAUCAUUAUUGUUACUAGGGCAGUUCCCGGGCUACGCCCGGGUUAUUUUCUAUGAAAAUAUUAAAAUAGAAUAUUAUAUUAGUUUAAUAUAUUUUUGUUUAAAUCAUGUUUUAAUGUAAAAUAAUGUUUGGAUUAAAAUAAUCAUUGAAUGAAAAAAAAAGUAUUAUCGAUGGCUUUUGGAACUUAAUGAUACAAUGUUUAUUUUAAUUGACAUAGGAAGCAGUAAUGUAAAUUUAAAAACAGUUGGUAGAUCAGUUUUAAUAUUUAAGUUUGUUAUAAAUCAUAUUUAGAAGCAGAGUAAAGUUAUUAACAUUAUUAAGAGCAAAUGCUAAAGUCUUAAAACAAAGAAGCAGAAAUUAUAAAUAAAAUGGUAGAAUUUUUGAGGGAGAGGGUGGCAGAUGUGAUGGAAAUUUCUUCAGUUAAAGAGCCUGAAAUUUAUUUUGAAAUAAAUCAGUGAACAUAACUUAGUAAUAGGAAUCAAUUUACUUAACUAAUAGAAUAUAGAGACGUACUUGGAAGUAGCGAGGUAUUCAUCAUAAGGGAAUGAGUUUUAACACUGAUUCAUUUCUGUUGAUAGCUCGAAUACUGCAUAGGAGAUAAAUGUAAAUUAUUAGAUAGAUAACCCCUAAAGAAACUUUCAAUGAGAUUCUGAGUUUAAAUUUUACUUACUUUCAUGUGAACGAAGGCGGUUGAAGAUUUCUUUGUAGACUAUGUUCUUCAUUUUUUGUUUGUGUGAGUCUUCGUCUUUGAUGAUUUUUUAGUCAUGCUUUGCUUGUUACACGUGAGAGGGCCACGUAGAGUUGACCAUGUGCGAAGACCGGUCUAGGUAGAUAUAUGAUAACCUCUUUUAAGCUUUGCGCCUGGCUUUUGUUGAUAGUCAUUGCAUAACACAAUCUGAUAGGGAAUUGUCGUUGACGUAAAGUGAACGGUAGCUUUGUUUCACCAUGCAAGAGGACAAUUCUUGGGAUCAAAACUUCUUUUCCAAUGUGUGAGCCAGAUAUUAUAUUUGCCUUAAGCACUCUUUCGCCUAUAUGGAUUAGGAUCAUACGGGUACCAUUAUAUAAUCCUUUUUUCUGAUUUAUGUUUCACAGAAGCAUAAUCGGGACCCCAACUUUGAGAUUGAGUUUAUGAGAAGGCAAUCCUUGAAACUCCAUGGAAUUGAGAUACUCAAUCGCGUAUAAAGUAUCAUUUUGAUUAGAUUGAGUUUCCGAAACCUCAAAGCUAUCGUAACUGUAGUAGUCUCUUGACUCCCCCUCGGUUUUGGAGAUUGUAUAUGCAUUGAUUUCAUCGACUAUAUCAUUUCGGAGUGUAAGUAUAGCUUUAUCAGUGUAGGAACUCUGGGAGGCCUUUAUUUUGUUGACAUCACCAAACGCAGCAUCAAGAACUUGUUUUAAUGACUCAUCCUUAGUCUCUUGGACCAAUGAAUUGUCGACGAUUAUCAUUUGGUCAUGGUAGGCAUCAUCCUCAUCUUCUUGUCCUGAUUCUGGACGACCUUCUCCGACUUUGAGAAGCCACUCAGAGAACUUUGUAAAAUAUCUAUAGACGGUUAAUAAAUAAUGUAUUCAUAAUAUGUGAGUUUAAAAAAAAAUUAAUACAGUAAUAGAUAGUGCAGAAAAUUAUUUAAAAAAGUUUAUCAUAUAUUAAAAAUUAAUAUUUAGCUAAUUAUUAAAUAUUUCAUAAAAAUAAAAAUAAUUUAUUUUAAUGGUUUUUGAAUUGAUGAUAUAUGUAUAUACUAUUUGAAAAUUAUUAGGCCUGCGAGUGCAAGCAAAACACCUAUCAUUCAUACAAAGAAGAAGAAAUUCAUACGAUAUUAUAGUUGUCUUACCUACAAAACUUCUAAUAGUAUAGUUAGUUAACUUUUUAAUAAUAUAUGAGAACUCCAGCUUCUAUUAUAUGUAGUAAAUAAAAAAAUAACUAAAAUACAGUUCUUUUUAUAAAAUCAAUACACAUGUAUAAAUUACUUUUAUGAUAAUUUUUGGAAUCAUUAAUUAAAAAAAAUACUAAAUUACAGUUCUUUCUAUAAAAUCAAUACUUAUGUAUACAUCACUUUUAUGAUAAAUUUCAUAAUAUGUGAGUUUUUAUAAAAUUUAAUACAGUAAUAAAUAGUGCAGACAAAUAUUUUUAAAAGUUUAUCAUAUAUUUAAAAUUAAUAUUUAUUUAAUUAUUAAUUAUGUUUAUAAAAAAAGAUUAUUGUAAUGGUUUUUAAAUUGACAAUAUAUCUAUAUACUAUCUUAUGUUAUGUGCAGGGAAAACACUUAUCAUUCAUACAAAUAAGAAGAAGUUCAUAUGAUAUCACAGUUGUCUGACCUACAAAACUUCUAAUAGUAGAGUUAGUUAACUUUUUUUAAUAUGAGUUUUAGUUUGUUUACUAUAUAGAUAGAUUUUUAAGUUUUUUUUUACCACGUUCUUAUUAAAAAAAAAGAAUUAUCUUAUUUUUAUCAAACCAUAUACGUGUUUUUUCCUUAUCAAUACUAACUCUUAUAAAAAAUGAAAUAGUCAUAUAUGAGAUUCCAGGUUCUAUUAUAUUUAGUUAAUAAAAAGAUACUAAAAUAUAGUUCUUUUUAUAGUAUACAAAUAAGUCCACUACAAAUAAUUUAUGGUUUUUUAAUAACUGAUUACUAACCUUACUAAGUUUUAAAGGAUUUUUUGAGACCAGUUGCAUCCCAUCUAUAAUUCAAUUCUCAAUAUUAUAGUCUAUAUGUAAUUAUACUACAAUAUGAUUGAAUUCUAUUUUAUUAGUUUAGUAAAACUGUAUCUGAGUUUUUAAUUUAAAAAUAUUUGCAUCAUUAAUAUGGUUUUAGUAGAACCAUCUAAUAAUACUUCCCAAAUUCUCCAAACUCUUUAUUGUUUUAACAUUUUAGAAAACAUUAAUUUGUCUAAAACAAAUCUAUCAAGCUGAUCAACGUUAUGAAUUUUAUUUGAAAGCUAGGUUUGAUAAGUCCAAAAUGAGAAGAUAAUGGCAGUUUUGUGGUUAGAUUUAUGUGGCAUGAUUUGAGUCACAUAAUUGAUAAGUUUGGAGUUUUGAUUACCCGGAGGAUCUAAGUUUAGUUUAAAAGUUUUCUGGCAAAUUAAAAUGAUAAUAUUAUAAGUUAAUGUUCUGGCUUAAUUUAACUUCAUCUACAUGUAACUAAAUUAUAACCACCGUUUACCUGAGCGAGAAGAAGAUGUUAUUUUGUGGAAUGAUCUGAGUUACAUAAUUGAUAAAUUUUGUGUUUUGAGUACCGGAAGGAUCAAAGUUUAGUUUGAAAGUUUCCUUUAUUUAUAAAUAAAUCCUUUAUUUAUUGCCUUUAUUUAUUGCCGUCUUUUUAAAUUUGUAAAUAUAUUUCUAAACUUAUGUACGAUUUUAUAUUUGUGAUUUUAAAUUUUAAAAUAAAUGUUAAUGGGUGUCAAGUUGCAUUUGCACAUAUAACCAUUAAUAGACUGAAAAUAUAUUCAUACAUAAGAGUAAUUAUUUUAAGCAUAGACGUGUACAACAACGAUUUCGAAAUCCUUUUUAAAAAAUAUAAGUCUUUCAAAUUGUUUCACAUUGCUUUUAAGAUUUAAUUAGGUUAAUAUUAUUAAAAAUAAUUUGAUUUUUUUCUUAUUUUUGCAAGUAUAUAUUUAUAAAAUUGUGUAUACUUUUAUAUAUCUUGGUUCGGUAUAAAUUUAAGUGAUAAAAACUUUAGGUUCUAGUUAUUCAAGAAUUACGUAAUAUAUUCUAUUCUAUAAGUUUAUAUACGGUUUUGUAGUUAAAGAUUUACAAUAUAAUCAUAUCACAUCACAUAUUUCUCCAACAUAGUUAUUUGAUGUUAACAUAAACAAAUAAUUUUGACAGAAAGAAAAAAGAUGAUAUCAAAUUAUCAGACUACAUUAGAAUAUCUGUAUUGUAUAAAUGCAGUCAAUUUACAAUAUGCAUAGGUUCGUAGAUAUGUCACAGUCAAUAUUACAUAAAUAUCAUGUGGCAGAGUUAUUAUAUAUUAUUAUAGAUACUACGGAAGUAAAUGUUUGUCAUAUCCAGCCCACUGCAAAUGAAAGAAAAACGUGAAGCCUAGAUGUGACUGAAGCCCAUCUGAUAUGUAAAAACGAAAUGAGCUGAUUGGUCGAUUAUUUUUGAUGAUGUGGACAGCCUAAUUGCUCACUAUAUCUUCCUUUUAGUAUAGGAUAGAUAUGCAUCAAUGAUGUUUACUAUGAGUGGAAUAUUGUGGAAUAUGAACAUAUUUACCAAAAAAAUUAUUAAUAUCUCUUCAAAUUCACAAAUAAAAUCACAAAUAAAGGAGUACACAUGCAAAUCAAAAAACAGACCAGAAACAUAACUAUUAUAGAUCAUUUCUCUGUAAAGACAAGCUUGGACUCCACUUGAUAUGGAAGAAGACUCUGUCAGAAGAAGUUUUUUAGAAAAAUUAUAUUUUAGAACACUUUGGAAGACUUAUGGGAAGUCUUUUCGGAAGUCUUCUAGCGUAUUAUAUUUUAGAAGAUUUCCCAUAAAUCUUCCAAAGUCUACAACAGAUCUGAAAAACAUACAUAUCAAAGAAUGUUCAAAUGGCUUAAAACAGAGAAAAUGAGUGAAAAAUUAUAUAGAUAUACUUUUAUAGAACACAUAAAGUAUAUAUCCAAGUGGAAGAUGAGAACCAUCUCAUUAAAAAUCUGCAACAAAAAGAUAGAUUAGUGAGAAAGACAUGAACAAAAAUGAAAAAUUUAUAUAAAGUUUGGUGUUUUCAAGCCAAAGAGACUAGAAUGGAUUUGGUGAGUUUUAAUUUGAGAAAAAUGUAGGAACUUUGUGCAACAUGAACUUACCAAAUGAAAAAAAAAAUCAGAUAUAAAAACUUGUCAAACACUCAGAUCUGUUAUGAAAGGAAGACAUGUGAGAAGACUCCGUCAGAAGACUUCCAGGUAAGUCGUUUUGGAAGUAUUCUAGCGGAUUAUAUUUUAGACGACUAACAGGUAAGUUGUCCCAAACGUCGUCCCAAAAGUCUUCCAGAUCUAAAAAACCUGCAUAUCCAAAUCCAGAUCUGAAAAACAUGCGUAUCCAAAAACGUUCAAAUAGCUUAAAACAGAGAAAAUGAGUGGAAGAUUAUAUAGAUCUACCUUUAUAGACCACACAAAAAUACAUAUUUAAAAUUAGUAGAUCUACCUUUAAAUAAGUGGAAGAUGAGAACCAUGUGAUGAAAAACCUGCAAAACAAGAUAAACUAGUUAGAAAGAUAUGAGACAAAAACAAUAAAUUGAAAUAAAGUUUGGUGUUUAUAAGUUUAAAGAGAUUAUAGAGAGUUUGAAGAGUUUUAGAAUGAGGAACAUUCCAUUUUUGCUGCAGCCAUUUGAGAGGAGAAGAUAAAAUGUUUAAAUUUUUCUUUAUAUAUGAAGACAAAAAUUUCAAUUAGAUUAAAUAUUUUCGAUUCAAAAGACUUUCAAGUAAAUUAGAAGACUUACUAGACGACUUACUUGUAAGUCACCCAGAAGACUUCAAUAUUUUUAGCGGGAUACUAAAAUAUUUUUAGCGGGAGUUAGAAGACUUUCAGAGAAGUCUUCUAAUCGCCAGCCUAUUUACAUGUUAGUCCUCUAGACCCUAAACAUAACCCCUAAACAAAAUAAACUAACUAAACACUUCAUAAAAUCAAAUUAAACUUAAAAAGUGUUUAAUAUACACAUAAAUAAAAACAUAUAGGUAAAAUUUUAAUGUUUCAAAAAAACAUUUAAGCUUUCCAAAAUCUAACCCUAAGAAUACAUACAAUACUACAACAUAUAUUGUCAAACCCUAAGCCAAAAAAUAUCAUGAUUAACUAUUUUCAUUCAUCUAUGUUGAAAACUAUUCAAUUUUAUUAUAUCUUAAUUUAUAUUACUUAAAACUGUUUAUAAUUACAUGAUCUUAAUUUUUCACUUGUCAAAUUUUUUUUUCUUUUAAUUAUAAAUUAUUUUUAAGAUCAACUACACCAGGAGACUUAUAGUAUCUCAGAAGACUCAUACGACUUUCCGAGGCUAUAUUCGUAAAAAUGAGUUCUAUUUUUUGUUUGGUCAAAAGGGGCUGACUGUAAUUUCGCAAGGCUUUUAGGUUAGUUUUGCAUUUGAUUCAAGUUUGGGUAUAAUUUUGUAUUUAAAAUCAAGUUUUGAGUCAUAUUUGGCAAAUCCACCUAUUUUUAUUUCUUAUAUUCUAUAUUUACUUAUUAUUUAUUUUAGUAUACAUUUUUAGAUAUAUGUCUAAUUUAUUUUUUCCUUUUCUGAUAUUGUAUAUUUACUUAUUGAUUAUUUUUUUUUAUGUUGUAUAUUUAUUUAUUCUAAUCUUUUGCUUUUAUGUCAAAUAAUAAUAUUACACUAGAUGUUUAGUUUAAUAUUUCUAUUUCUUAUAUUAUAUAUUUACUUAAUAUUUAGUUUUUCUUAUAUUGUAUAUUUAUUUAUUCUAAUAUACGAUAAGUGUUUAAUAUAAUAUUUCUAUUUCUUAUACUGUAUAUUUACUUAUUAUUUAUUUUUUCUUAUGUAGUAUAAUAAUUUAUUCUAAUUGUUUUGAUUUUAUAUCAAAAUUGUAAUAUUACGAUAGAUUUUUAAUGUAAUAUUUCUAUUUCUCAUAUUGUAUAUUUCCUUAUAUAUAUUUAUAUUAAAUUAUUUUUUGAUUUUUUGGUAUUAAUGCCACGUCGGGGUGGACACUUUACCCGAAAUCCGAAGUGUCACCCGAACCCGAUCCGAAAUAUCCGAACCCAAAAUUGGUAAUAUCCGAACCUGAAUGGAUAUCCGAAGAUAACCGAACAUAUGUAUAAUUAACCUUAUAUUUCUAGUUUACAUCUUUCAUUUUAUAUAAAAUAUUUAUAUUGAUACUACACAUACUUUAAAUUCAUAUGAUAUACAUACAAUUACGUAGAAGAUGAUUUGCUAUUCACUUAAAAUGUAUGUCAAACUUUUUAUUUCAACAAUUAGCAAAAAGUUACAUCCAAAUUGAAAAACAAUAACAAAAUUAAUGUCUUUUUAGUUUGAAAAUGUUAUGUACAAAUCUAUUAACCAUUCAAUCUAUUAAAAAUAAAAAAAAUAGUUAAGUAAAAGUUAUAUAUUUAAAUACAAGAAAUUUGAGAAAUGAAAAUUUUCAUUUUUUUUUCUUCAAAAUCAAAAUAUACAAACCUGAUCCGAAAUAACCGAAACCGAACUAAAAAUACCCAAACCCGACCUGAAGUACAAAAAUACCCGAACGGCUUUUACACCUCUAUACCGAAAUACCCAAAAAUCAAAAAUACCCGACCCGAACCCGAACGGGUACCCAAACGCCCACCCCUAAUGCCACGUGUCAUCUUUCGGAAAAAGUUUUUUUCACUGAUGUGGAUGCUCUAUGGAGCCUCAAAAGGUCCCUUUUAUAAGUAUAGAUUGUAAUAGUACGAUAUAUGUUUAAUGUAAGUUUCUUAUAUUGUAUUUACUUAUUAUUUAUUUUAUUAUAUAUUCUUUCAGAUAGAUGUUUAAUGUAGUAUUUUUUAUUUCUUAAAUUGUAUGUUUACUUAUUAUUAUUUUAUAUAUAUGUAUUUACUUUUAAUUUUUUUUUACUUUUUUGGUAAUAAUGUCACAUAUCAUCUAUCAGGAAAUUUUUUUUUUUGCUGAUGUGAACGCUAUAUAGAACCUUAGAAGAUCUCUUUUAUUAGUAUAGAUUAUCGCAUAUCUAUUCUAUUAAAGGGGAAGCAGUCUUAAUAAAUCUACUUAUAAAGGUUGUUUGGACUCUUUCAUUUUUUAGUCCAACCUAUUAUAUAUAACUAAAUCUUAUAACCAACCUAUUUUAUAGCAACCAAAUAAAAAUCUCCUACAUUUAAAUAAAACAUAUUACUGUUUAUUGACUUUAAAUAUUAUAAUCUAAACUGUCGACCUAUAGCCUUUUAAAUAUGUGCGUAGGUUUUGUAUGAACCAUUGUUCUAUUAGUAAUGUUUAUAUAAUAUGUUUGUAUCGAAUGAUGGUAUGACAUUAUUAUAAACCAACAUUAUACCUCAUAUAACAAAACUUUAAUGAACCAUAUAGAUAUCUAUUAUUUAAAUGAGUCAGUGUUUUCAUCACAAAAAUAUAACAAAUUAGUGUUUUCAUCAAAGCAUUUUAACAACUUACAGGUUUGGUAAAAUGUUCAUACCUAAGAGAGAGUUAUAUAAGAGUGUACAUAUAUUUGAACAAAAAAAGAAUACAUACAAAAUCUUAAAUAAAUUAAUUCAUGAAUUAUAUAAUUUAAAUAAAUUAUUUUUUUGACAUCAUAUAAUUUUGUAACAUAAUAAUUUACAACAUUUUCAAAAUAUUAAUUCACAAAUUUUGUAUAUAAUCCAAAGAAAAACGCGCUUUCAAAACGCGGAUCAAAAUCUAGUUUGUGCGUUAAGAGUACAAAUAAGUCAAUACCGUCACUCCACUAGUCCACUUCCCUUACUGAGGAUUCAAGAUCCAACUCGUACGAAAACAUAUAUUUUACUCUUCAUAUUUAUUUUAUUUAUUUAAUUAGGAAAAGUUUGGAUCUUCCACCCUAAUUUACAUGUGGUAUGGAAUUAACAUGCAUUAAUAUCAUGAACAUGUGUUUUUCUCUUUCAUUUUCCCGUGAAAACCACAAAAACAUAUUUUUCCAUCAAAAAACAUUUUCCGUAAAACUCGAAAAACACAUUUUCAUGCCAAAACUACAAAACGCGUUUUCACGUCAAAAAUAUUUUUUCACGCCAAAAACGCAAAAACGCGUUUUCCUGCCAAAAUCGUAAAAGGUGUUUUCUCGACAAAACCAAAAAUUAUCAUUUUCCUGCCAAAACCAAAAAUCUUGUUUUCCCGCCAAAACCGAUAAAACGUGUUUUCCCGCCAAAACCGAAAAACGUGUUUUUCCGCUUAAACCGAAAAAUCUCGUCCCCCCACCCCCCAUAAACUGCAAAAAUGCAUUUUCUCGCCAAAACCAAAAAAACUAUUUUUCCGCCAAAAUCUUGUUUUUCCGUCAAAAUAAAAAAAUUUCAUUUUCCGCCAAAACCGAAGUUACAGUCGAUUUAUUAUUAAUACUCUUUUAGUUUGAAACUCUAAAGUUUUUUUUUUCAAAUGCAUGUUUAUCAGUUUUUUUGUUUAUUAGAAGUUAUUAUUGAGUAAAUUUUAACGUGUGAUUAAAUCAAGAUAAAAGUAUUUUGGUAGUUUGUUUACUAAACUCAUUUAGAUGGAAAUAAAAAUAAAGAAACAAAUAUAAAAUUCAUUUAGAUGAUUCAUCGAGAUGAACCAUCUGCAUGAACAAAUAAACAGUCCCACAAAUGUGAAUUGGUCAUCUGAAUAGAUCAUAUAAAUGGAUUAUCUAAAUGAAGAUGACAGACGGUGAAACGAACAGCCCUUAGAUAGAUUGGAUGCUUAUCACCAUGAUCUAAUAUUAAUCCCUGGUCAACAAAACAUGAUGAUGAUGAUGAUGACGACUUCUUAACAAAGAGCUUUCUGAGCAAAAAUCCCGAUUGUCUGUUACGUCUGCUCGGUUUAAUUCAAUACAGCCCAUAUAUCGCACGGUCGCGUUAAACAACACAAUUACUAAAAUCAAUUCUUCACUCUUUUCCUGCCGAACUAAGCCAUAUAUAUGUUUAAAGCCCAUCUCUAAUUCUACCCGACCCAUGUUCUAAUUCUUAGAGCACAUCUCUAAACUAGUUUAUUAUUAGUACUAGGGGCAGAGGUCCGCGGAAGCGAGGGGUUGGGUCCAUGAUAGUUUUUUAAUCGAUAUUGCUGUAGGAGAAACUGAUGUUUGUUUAGAUGUUUUUAUAAUUGUGCUGCUGCUUUGCAGAAUUUUAAAUUUUAAGAGGCGUGGGGUGGUGGGAUUUGCUGAGAGGUUUACUGUGUUAGCCUUGUGUACGUUUUGUGUGGGGACUGUUGACCUAGUGCGUGUUUGAGGGGGUAUAUAGUGUUGGAACUUGUUUUUUUGACGAAAUGGUUUUACAUUAUCUUUCGGUAUAAAUUUUCGGAUGAAGACGUUCAUCGGAAUAACCAAAUGUUUGAUACUAUGAGUAGUGUAUUUGUAUGUCAAAAUCGGAGUUGGUUUUGAAUGAGAAAUGAAAGUCUAAUGUGGAAGUAUUCGUAAAAUAUCCAUAUUAGAAAUAUGAGGUGAGAGUCCUAUUGUGUAUAAAAUGGAAAAAAUAAAGCAAAGCUUAAAACUUUGUUUAUACUGAGAAAGAAAGAUAUUUGGACCGAACCUAAAUUUCAGGUUUUGAAUUUUGGUAAACGGGUCAAAAAAUUAAUAAAGAAGUUAGACUUGUUAGUCUAGUCUUUACUUAAUUUAUCUGUCUUUAUUUUUAAACUUUGUGGUAAAUAAAGUUUGAAUAAAAUAAAGAAAAAAAAUAUUUGCUAAUUAAAUGGGUCAACGUGAAGCAGUGAAGGUAUGAAAGCAAAAUUGAUUCUGAAUUUGUAACCUACAUCUAAAUGCACAUCCAUAUAAUUAUGAUGAGAAUCUCCAUUUUAUUGCCAACGUUUACGGUUUGGUUUAUGAAAAACUUAAGGUUUGGUUAGUGGACUAUAUAAUAGUCAUUGCUCUUCUCAUUCUAUAUAUAAUUCUUACAAAUAAGAAAACAAUUCUUCCAUGUUCAAUAGUGAUGCUUUAUUUUUAUUUUAUUUUUGUGUUCGAGAGUACAAUACAAAAUUAGGUUCGAUAGAUUUUGUUUUUCGGUAAUGGUAAACAGAAACAAUACUGCAGUUGUAUCAUGGAAAUCUGAGCGCUAUGAAACUGUACACUACGGGAUAUUUAAAAAUUUAAGGAAAGAGAUUAAUUAUCUCAGUUAUGUAAUUCUUCUUUAUUCUUAUAUUUUGUUAUUAUAAUUUUAAUUUAUGUUCUUAUUAUUCUUUAUAAAUAUCAGUUGUAAUAAAUACUACGUAUAGUAUCGGUAAAUUACUAAAUUUGUAGUCCCGUACGCUGGAAUAUAUUUUUUGAUUUUCCGAUAACGUAAGUUUAGAAGUUGUUAUAAGGUUAGUUAUUGGUUUUGCUGGGCCUUAAUGAGGCUUAAAAAUAUGAGUUUAAAAGUUUUGCAUUGGUAAAGUUUGAAAUGGGAGGAAUGAAAGUGGGCCCAGUAGCCCACUUAUGAGGAGAAAGUGAUUGAACAGUGUUCGGUGACCGCUAGUCGUUGCUCCGUUGCGUCUUCUUAAUUGACCUGCAAUGUGUGGGAUUCUUUUUUUUCCUAGGAAUAACACAUAAUUGAAUAAGAUUUUAGUUUGAUAUGUGUAGCAUUUCUUACCUCUUUUGUUGCGUGAUGGGGACGUUAGGUAUUGUUGACGAUGUUGUCGUUUACUAUGUUUACAGAGCCGACAUUUAUGUCGUGUUUACGUGAAGGCCAUGUUUACAUGUACUGAUGCAUUUAGUUUAAAUUAAGGUUAUUCUUCUCCUUAGGAGAGGGGGUUUGUAGACAAUAGAAAAACAACCCAAAUUCAAAUAGGAAAAAAAAAUAGGAAUUUAACAUUUAUAAAAAGACAAGAAAUGAAGGUUGGGUUAACGGUUUGAUGGUCUUGAAACUAUCACUAACGGGGGAGUUUGCCUUUUUUUCUUUGCCUUCAGAGCCGAGAGGUUUUGCUUAAUCAGCUUCAUUUGCAAUCUUAGCCGGCUCAACCGCAUCUGGCGCUUGCCCACAUUCCACGUACAUGACUGGAGACUGAUUGUUGCUGCUAAUCUGAAUCAUACUUGCCUAAGUGAGAAAGAAGCUAUCAUCACUAACUGCAGAAACGGUAAAGGUACGGUGGUUGAGGGUGAUAUAUUGUAUGGAGUGAAACGAAUUUGAAAAACGUAGUCCUUUCCAGCUAGCUCUUUCAAGGCAGAUGGGUAGGUCAUGCCCUCCACUGCCAUUCAUCUGUAGUACGUUUGAGGUAUGCAUGCAUUGAGAAUUUUAAACGUAGAACAAAUGGAGUUGAGGAGCGACAAGCAUACCUGCUCAAGAGCCAGAGUAGCUAUCUUUCUUGGUUAUCUUAGUCAUAUCUUAGUCAGCAACUUCUAGUUCAACACAGAACCUGGAAUAAGAGAAAGCUUUUAGGUGAGCGUAUAGGUAGAGAACGAUGUGCCUUUAGAUAUGGGUCAGGAUUAUGCACUUCGUACCUGAUAACCCCGCGGGCCUAACUGGCUUUAGUAUAAACGGACGGACCCGUAACCCGUUUAUUAUGAUAUAAUUUAUACCCGUUUAGGCCCGUCUCGUUAACGGGUAUACCCGCUAAAUAAACGGGUAUCUGUUUAAGCCCGUUUAUGAGUUUUUUUUAAAAAAAAAAUCAUAUUUAAAAAUUAUAUUUUCAAAAAUUACUUUUUAUAAUUUUUGUUUUGAAACAAAAUAGUAAUAUUAUAUGAAGUUUGUGUUACAAAACAAAUAUAUAUAGUUUGUGUGUUUUUUUUCUAGGAAAAAGUUUAGGUUAUAAUUGUGUUUAAAACCUACUAAAAUUUGUUGAUGUUUUUUAUGAUAUGAUGAAUUGAUUAAUAUUUAAUAAAAGUAAAGUAUUUUUUCCAAAUUUUGGUUUAAUUGGAAUUUCUAUUUAUUAUAAGUUUUAAAAUCAAAUAAAAACUAUUAAAAUUAUACAAAGAUAUGACAAAAGAUUAUUGACAAAAAUAGAAUUCACAAAAAAAAAAAUUAACGGGUCUAAACGGGCUAAACGGAUACUAUCAACAUAAAUGGGCUUAACAUUAAACGGGUUUAAACAGAUAACGGGUCUAAAUGGACUUGACAUUAAACAGACCUAAACGGGCAGUGUCUAAUCGGACAAGGCCUAAACGGACCCGGGUAGCCCAUAUUAACAUCCAUACCCGUAACGUUGGGAGAAGAAAAUCUGUUGCACCAACGGAAAGUGUCAGAUCUGUCCAACUUCCUGCUGCAUCCGGUGCAAGCGACAGAUGACCAUCCAUUAUCUUGGAGGACCCAAAUAAAACCAGCUACAUGUGUCUUAACAGAGACAACAAAGUAACCAUUUACUGUUUCUAUUUUUUAUCCACAUAAGCCGCAAAUAUGUGUUCAAAGACUGAGUAGUGUUAUCUGGUCGUUAGAGUUGGAGAUGUACAUGUUUAGUUUUCCAAUUAACACAAGUUAUUUCUUUUUGAUCCCUUCUAUGGUAUCUACACAAGGUAAACCUCUGUUGCUGCAUUGUCCAAACUGCAAGAACCACAAAUGUUAGACAAAUAUUAACAUACCUUUGGAGAUGAGUUUAAGCCAAGACAGUCUGUAUUGCCACCUGCUUAUGAACUCUUUGAUGGCAGAAAUAGUGGCCGAAUAGUGGCCGAAGCAAGAGUGUUUCCUAGUCUAAUUGGUAUGAAGACAGAACAGUAAAAUCAGACAUGAUUUUGAGGCUUUCAUGACACAUGUUUGGACUAUGUGAUUCGUGAGAGAGUAAAGAGUAUGAUAUCUUUUCAUCAAGGAAGAAGAACGGUGAUUCUCAUAAAUUAACCGUUUUUCUUCACGUUAAGCGAAUCCCAGAAGCUGAGGAUGUGAGAUACGGUGAACUGAGAAAUCCAACCAAGUGGGAGGGCGUCGUAGAUAUAUAAAUGAGGAAAAUAAACAGUUUAUGGAUAUAAUUUGAGAAGUAGAAAGAGUAACGUAUGUAGUGCUUUGAUGGAGGAACCCUAAAUCUAAACUGGAGAGGAAGAUAAUGCGACUAAGACCAUGUACAAUGGUUUCAACAUCCAUAUCAUUUUCAACACUCUAUUUUUCUCUUUUUAACAUUCAACAUCAUCUUAUCUUUCAUCCACCUAAUUUAUUAAACAUCCUCUUCAUUUUUAACAAAAUUUCAACACUAUACCCCACCAUUUUUAAUUCAUACUUUUAUCUUUAUAAUAUAAUAACUAUAUAUAAAUAAUAUUUUUGAUUCUAAUUAACUUAAAAACUAAAAUAAUGUAACUUUUAAGAAGAAUUUUGAAUUUUAAAAAAGUUAUUAUUAGGAUUUAUUUAACAAAAAUAGUUUAAAACAAUAAAAUAGUUAAUUAUAGGAACAAAUAACGUUUUUCUGUGUCCAAAUGAAAUGAGAGUAGUAUUUAUUUAUAGAUUGUAAAAAGUUAUGAAUUUUGACAUAAUUUUUAUUAUUCAAAAAUAAAAAUAUUAUAUGAUAAAUGAGUUUUAGUUAUUGAAAAUAAAAACAAAAUAAAUCUACACAACAUUUUUAUCUAAUCAAUUUAUGCCAAAUGACAAAACUGGCCCACAUAAAAUUUUAUCAACAUGUUCAAAUUUUCCAACGAAUAUUAAAUCUACAUAGAUAAACAUAAUAUUCCAACACCAUCAUUGCAUGGUAUUCAACAGUUGAAACCCACUUUCAGCACUCCCAUUGUGGGUGGUCUAAGAGAUAUUUUUUUCUUCACGAUUUGGUCCAAGUAAAAAGCGGACUGGGCUAUACAUAUCCUUUGAAGCCCACAUUACAUCAACAAUGAAUCCUUUAAGCAUUCGUUAAACAUUACGAUGGAUUCACGACUUAAAUUUCCUGCGGGACUCACUUCACUCCUAGGUGCUGACGUGAACACCUUUAGUAGAAACUAAACUGUCCCAUUAUAAUGGGACAUUUGCUAAAACCAACCCAAAUAUUCAAGUCAAAUGUAAAAGUGUACCCUACUUUCAGUCAAAUGCAAAACCAACCUAAAGGAGUAGUGAAACUACUAUUUAACCCUUAUGACCAAACAAAAAACAGAAAUGUAUUUUACGUUUCUAUCCUUUGGAAGUCUACACGUAAUAAAAGAAGUCUACAUAUAUAUAAACUUCAUACGAAGUCUACUUUAUAGACUUGUUUUGUAGUCUAUACUCUAAUUUGAUCUAAUAAUUUAAUUUUGAAAAUGUAUAAAAAUAAUUAUUGUGAUAUUUUUAACUAAUCAUCAAUAUAAUGGAUAAUAUGAAGUAAAUAAAUUAAAAUUUCAUAUAAUCGAACAAUUUUGAAGAAUAUAUACUAAUUUGGUUAUCAUGUGUUAGACUAUGUUCAUAGUUUAGAAACAAAAGGUUCUAACAUGUUAUGUCUUUUAGUAGUUGAUUUCAUAGGGUUAGAUUUUAGAUUUUGUUUUUUUUUUUGUUUUAUUAACUUAAAUCUGCAGAUUAAUGUUUAGUAGUUUAUAUUUUGUAUAAAUGAGACUUUUUGAUUAUCAAGCAAAACAUUUAGGGUUUGAGAUUUGUGAUUUAGGGUUUCGUAGACCUACAAUAAAGUCUAUUUAUCUGAAGACGUCUUUUUCAGUCUAUAUUUUUCAAUUUGUUUUACAAAAAAUCAUUAUAUUUAAACUUAGUUAAGUUCCUUACGAAUAAAAAAGUGAAAUCAUAUACUAUAACUAUUAAAAAAUAAAGAAAUAAAUUUAAUAAAUCAUAUAUUAAAAUUAUUAAAAUAAUAAAGAAUAAACAACAAUAAUUAAAUUAUUAUAGUAGACUUCCAAAAAGGUCUACUAUGUUAUAGUAAGAUCUACUCCAAAAUUUUAAUUUUAGUAGACUUCAAACGAAGUCUACAGUAUCGUAAAUUUUAACCUAGUUACAUUUUUGUCUCCCUAUAUAAACAAAAUUUAUACAAUCUCUCUCUAAAGUGGCUGCACAAGUUUUUAAAACUCUCUCCCUUCUCUCUAAAACUUUCUCUCUUCUCUCUAAAAUUCUCUCAAUUGUUUCUAAAUCUCUCUCAUUAUCUUCUUUCUCUCUAAAAUUUUCUCUAAGUCUUUCUCACAAUAUUAUCUUGUCAUUUUAGAUAUUAUGAUUCAUGGAUUUCAUCUUCUCCUUUAAAAAAUGUAAGUUUUAGAUCUAUAGAUUUUAACUGUGUAUUUUUAUGUUUAUUUCUCACAAUAUUAUCUUUUUCUGGUAGGUAUUAUCACUCAUGGAUUUCAUCAUCUCCUCUAAAAAUGUAAGUUUUAGAUUAAUAGAUUUUAAAUAUAUAUUUACAUGUUUAUAUUCAAAUAAAUUUAUAGAUCAAGCUCUCUACAUUAAUUUGCUACUAGUUUACCUUAUAAAUUCUAUUAUGUAAAGUAUUUUCAGAUUUUAAAUUAUUUUCACAUUUCAAAAUAUAUAGAUUUUUUCAGAUCUGAAAAUUAUCAGACAGUGUAGACUACUAAAGAAGUUUACUAAAGUUUGCAGACUUCAUAUGAAGUUUACUAAACCACAAAGUUUAAGCAGACUUCAUUGGAAGUCUACAAAAAUAUGACUUUAAUUUUUUUCUAUGUUUUUUAAUAAUUUUAUCUUAUUUUUCAAGUAUUUUCUUCCAUAGUUGUUCUCUUCUCCUCCUAGAAAUGUAAGGUUUACAUCUAUAGAUUUAAAAUAUGUGUUCUAGUAUUUAUAUUCAAAUAAAGUUACAUAUUAAAAUUCAUAUUAAUAUGUCUUUAAUUUAUAACUAUUUCGUCUAUUAAAUCAUAUUUUUAAAAGUUUUUUAGAUUUAAACUUAUUUUAUAUUUUUAAUAUAUUUUUUUCAGAUCUAUUUUUUUUUUGAUAGAGUAGACUUCAUUUGAAAUCUACUUAAAACUUACGGCUGGUAGACUUCAAAUGAAGUCUACUAGCCUUGACUUUUAAGCAUAUUUCAUUAGAAGUUUUCUCAAAUAUGAUUUUAAUUUUUAUCUUAUUUUUUAUAAUUUUAUUUUAUUUUGCAGGUAUUCUCUUCCAAUGUUUUCAAAUCAUCUUCCCAAAAAUGUAAGCUUUCCAUAUAUUCAUUAUAAGAUAUUUUGUUUAUAAUGAACUAAAUUUAUAGAUUCAUACAUUAUCUUUUUGCUUUGUUACAAGGAUGACAAAAAAUCAUUUUUGAAAUAUUUUUCAGAACAAAAUAUUUUCAAAUUUUCUAAAUGCACACUUUUAAAUAUGAAAAUUUUCCAUUAGUGUAGACUUCAACUAAAGUCUACUAAAGAAUAACUUUACGUAGACUUAAUAAAAAGUCUACUAAAAUAUGAUUUUAUUUUUUAUCUUAUGUUUUUCUCAUAACUCUAUCUUAUUUUGCAGGUACUUUUUCCAAGACUUUAUUUGAAGCAUCAAGAUUAUAAAAAAUCAAACAUACUCAAGAAUACUUUUUAAUAUAUUGCUCUGUAAUAACUUUCAUGAUAAAAUAUUAAUUUUUAAAUAAUUGUUUAAUGCAUAAUAAUCAUUGUAUUCAUUUUUAGUUGUUUUCACUUGUAUGAUAUUAUUAAUUUUUUGUUAGAUAUCAAUUUUUUCACAAGAUCUAACCAACCAAACAAGUAAAACCACCAUAAGCUAAAAUAAUAACUAACACACAUGUGAGAAGAAGAAAAUCUAUACAAAAUUUUUCCAAAAAUUUUGAAGAAUAACACUAAUCAAAACAAUUUGCAAUAAGUAUCAAGUGUAUAAUUAUAACACAUUAAAUUGUGAAAUUCAUCCAAGACCAUUAAAAUUUUACUAACAUACACUGUAAAAUAAUUAAAUCAUGAAAAAAUAUGAUGAAUAAUACACAAAUACACUUUUAAUAGAAUUUACGACGUAGACUUCAACUGCAGUCUACAUUUGUAGAUUUACAAAAACGUCUACACUUAUUAUCUAACAUAUAGUCAAUCCAAAAUUUUUUAGUGUUUUUGGCGCAUGCUUGAUACACAAAGGCGUACAAAGUAUGUCUUAGAUAACUCGAUCAAGUUCCGUACUUGUCGAUUAUUCGUGACAGGCAUAAGAGGAGUAUUUUCCUAUUCGGAGUCAUUUGUUUUAAAUGAUGUUUGGUAAGGAAUAGGUUAGCACCAUCUUCUCAAUUUUGUUGUCCAGAUCAUAAUCUUCUUGUGUUAUUUCAAGAAGUUUACCAUGUGUACAGCCAUCAUGCAUAAGGAACAUUCUUCAACCUUUCCGAUUCUUCAUCCUUUUCGAAUAUUUUAUCACCCAAAAUGUCUUUGGCCCAUGCUUCACACUCGCUCUAAGUUUCCAACCACAUCCUUGAACACGACACUUAGCCAAAUACAGAGUUUUCGUUGUCUUAUAUGCUGAGAAUGUAAAUUUAUAUUCCACAGUCACUGACUUCAGCUUUGAAACAAGCUCAGCCUUACUAGCAAAACUAUAAACGAAGACAUACAAAUACGUCUAUAAUUAUUAGCUAACAACAUUGUCAAAUCAAAUGAAUUAUACCUUCAUAAUUAUAAAAACAUUUAUUUUCAAAAUCACUCAAACCCAUUAGGAUUAACUAACACACACUGUCAAACAAAAAAACUAGAAAAAAAUUAAUGUAUAAUACACAAAUUCACAUUUUAUAGUUUUUUCUAUGCAGACUUAAUAUUCAGUCUCUGAAGAUGUAGACGUUCUUUUCAGUUUACAGACGUAGACUGUCAAAUAGGUCUACUCUUUGGGUUGGUUUUUGCAAUUGACCAUUUUACGGGUUGCUUUCUAUAGUUGAAUAAAAUUUGUGAUUUUGUACAUGUAGACUUUCAUUUCAGUCUACAAUUUAAAAAGGUUACUUUUUGCAAUUGACCAGAAUUCAUCCAAGAUUUGACUUUCAGAACUAGACUUCAUAUGCAGUCUACAUGUUUGAAUUUUUUUGAAAGAGGUUAGUUUUGCAAUUGACCAAGUUUGACUUCAAAUUAGUAGAUUGAAAUGAACGUCUACGGGUGUGUAGACUUCUUGUGAAGUCUACUCUCAAAUCCGACGGGUUGGUUUUGCAUUUGACCAAAAUAAAAAAAGUAGACUUUAUAUGCAGUCUACAUUUUUUUUUAAGAUAAGAAGAUUGCAUAUGAAGUCUACAAUUUAAUAAAUUUUUGAUUGCUUUUUAAACUUUUUGGUCAAACACAAAACUAACCUAUUCCAUGAAGUCAAAGUUUUGGUCAAAUGCAAAACUAACAUUUUAUAGACUUCGUUGGUAGUCUACAUUUUGUAGACUUCCGUUGAAGUCUAUUUUGAAAAGUCAAAAGUUCGGUCAAAUGAAAAUCUAACCUCUUUUAGGUAGACUUCUUAGUAAGUCUACCGAAAUUUUUAUUUUUGUUGUCAAAGGUAAAGACGGAGACUACUGGGGAAGUCUGCGUUAGAAAAAAAAUUUGUCUGGUCAAUUGCAAAACUAACCCGUGCGUUGACAAAUAGACUGCAUCGUAAGUCUCCACGGAGGCGUAGACAUACAAAACAGUCUACCGUCGCGACACAGAUCUGAAAAAGAACGAAAACCAUGUAAAUUUGUUACCUUUUUCAUGUGUAAAGCUCGUUUCCAACCUUUUCAACCGUCCAAACUCCAAAUAUGAGCAAAAAGAAGCAUCUUUAACGAUUCACUAAUGAAGAAACUCGAAAAUAUGAAGUUUGUGAUUAUGAAAAUGAUAGUUAUGAGAGUUUUUUAGAUGGAAAUGUAGAGGAGAUGAGAGGAAAUGAAGUUUUUUGGGUUAGAAUGAGAAAAAAGUGGUUGAGAAUUGAAUUCUAGAGCUUUAGAGCUCAAAAAUGGUGGUUCAUGGUGGUUGAAAAAAUUCAUGAUGAUGGCAUUUUUGUAAAUAAGAAGAAAUGGUUAGGGUGUAUUUGGUUUUUUGUUAAUUUCGAAAUUAAUAAAAAAAUAAAUAAAAAUAGCAAUUUUGUGAAUAAUUCAAAAACAUAAGGAUAGUAUGGAAAUUUUAUUGAUGAAUAGCAUGGACAAAAAAAAAGGGUUGGUUUUGGGUUUGACUUGAAAAUAGGGAUUGGUUUUGAAAAACACCCCAUUAUAAUAUAGAUUUUCAUAUAAUUUAAAUGCUUUUAGAAAACUAAAACCAAUAAAAAGAAUACAUGCUUAGAGAGAGGGUCCUAAGAGUAUAUAAAGCUAUUGCUCUUUUUCCUCUAUUGUCGAUUUAUAGUAUCUACUUUUGUUCAAGAAACAGCUAAAUGAUACUUAAGUGUUUAAUAUGUGACUAGUUUAAAAAGCGCGGAAUGAAUAUUUUAUAUACAUAUUAUUUUAUGUAUAAUUAUUUGCUUAACAUUUUUUACAUAUUAUGAAACAAAUUAAUAAAUAUAUAUUGAAAAAAUAUUAAUUGUUACAUGAAUAAUUAAAAUGAUACAAAUACAUAAAUAAAGAAAUCACUUUUAUUUAUUUACUAUCAUUUUGUGGUAAAUAAAUUUAAACAAUUAUGUUUUUCUAUUUUGUUUUGUAUGUAAUUAAAUAUAAAUAAUAUUAACAUGGAGAUAUAGAAUAUUUUUAAUAUGACUAUCUAUUAAACAAAACUUUCUAAUCAUAUGAUUUUAUUAUCAUUUGCAUUUUAAAAAAAAAAUUAAACCAUUAAUAAAAAUAAUGUUAGUGCGGGAUUUUAAAAUUUUUAAUGUUUUUAAUAAUUUAUAAUCUUUCAAAAAAAUUCAACGCAAAUCUUGAAAUUAAAAUAUUAACCUCUCAAUUUAAAAAUAAAAAUAAACCAUUAAUCACAAAAUUUUCAGUGUGAGACUUUUUGUAAUUUAUAGUCAAUUUUAAAUAUUCAAAAUAUAACAUAUACGAAAAAAUAUAAAUUUUUAUUAAAUGAUAAUAUGUUUAUUUAGUUUAUUUUAAUAAUAUAACAUUAAAAAAAUAAUUGUGGAUAUGUAAAUUGUUAUCAAAUCUUUGUUCUUAAAAUCAGUAAUUGUCAAAUAUAUUCAAUUCACUUUUGGUAAUUUCAUAACUUUUAUUUAAGGAAAGAAAUAAAAAAAAUAUUAAUUUUGGAAUGUUAAUUAAUUUAUGGUUAGUUUAGUUACACAUAUUUUAUAUGUUUAGUUGACCAACAUAUUUUUCUUAAGGCUUUGAAAAACAUUUUAGUGAUGCAUGACACAUGUCAUAGCUAAAAUAUUGUAAUAAUUCUCUUUUAAUAUAUAAAGAGAUUAGUGCUUAGACAGACAUGUAUACCGAUUUUUUAAAAAUAUUAUUUAAAAAAUCUUGUUUAUAAACGAUUUACCGCUUAUAGAUAUGUUAAACCUAUAGAAAUUUUCUUAUAUCUGAUCAGCAUAAAAAAAUUUUAAAAUAUUAUUUAAAAAAUCUUGUUUAUAAACGAUUUACCGCUUAUAGAUACGUUAAACCUAUAGAAAUUUUCUUAUAUCUGAUCAGUUUAACGUAUCUAUAAGCGGUAAAUCGUUUAUAAACAAGAUACAUUUUAGUGAUGCAUAGCACAUGUCAUAGCUAAAUCUUGUUUAUAAACGAUUUACCGCUAAACAGAGCCAUAGCAGCUGAUCAGUUAAUGUAUGCUUAUGUAUAACUAGAAUAAAGAACUGGUUGAUAAUGGUCUGCUUACUGGGAUAUGAGGAGUCUCUAGAGAGCAGAAUUUUAAUAUAACAAAUGCAAAGACUGAAAAAAGGUUUAUACUUGCAAUCAGUGAAGCAGUUGUAAUUUGAUUGUAAAUAUAAAAAAACCUUAUAUAUAUAAAAUAUAAAAACCCUUAGAGAUUGUGCUUUCUCCUUACAUGUCUUAUUUCCUCACACAGAGAAAAACUGUAUUUUCAGUAUAUGAUAAUGUUAAAACUUCGAGCUACCACCUAAAAUCCCAUAUCUAUACUAUACUAAAAGGAGGAUAUAAGCUCCAUUGAGCCUAUCCACCCACGUAGGAUCAUAAAUUCAAGCCAAUCCAGUGGAUGCCAUGUCAGCUUAGUAAACAAAAAAUCUAACUUUAGGAUGGCGAUUCCUUCUUCCUCUUCAACGCCUUUCCAGUGUUUCUAUCCAACUUCUCAGCCGUUUCAAGUUUUCUUCUAUGAUCUUUAUUUCACGAUUCUGUUCAAAGAUUAUAUGGACCCCUCAAUAUAUUCAAGUUAAUUCAGCCUAAAGCCUUAAUUGAAACCUAAAAGCAAGAUGUGUUCACGCCGUCGUCUUCCUCGAACAUCUUCGCUCUAAGCUGUGAUUAAGUUAGUCGCUAAUAGAGGUUGUUCAAGUUUCAUAGUCUCUUCCGUCUGCAAUCAUGGAGAUAAUUACUUUCGUUACAUUUCUAUGUCUAUGUCGGCGUCGUUUUGUUUUCGAUUCAUCUCCUCUUAGGUUCGUAUCCCUAUUCCUAGCGGUGGAUCUCCCAUUAUAAAAGGUAAGACUUCAUCUCAUGAGAAUCAUCCUCACAACUCCAAUUGCAUUCUAAAAUUCCUUUCUAUAUAUAAUGACUAAAUUCCGUUUUACUUGCAGAAUUGAAAUUCGGCUGUUGAGCUUCCGUCGUCAAGGUGCGGCUGCUCAGAAACUGAAAAGCGUGACGAGUUGAUGGGAGUUGACAUAAUCCUCUUCGAUGAUAAGGUAUUUCAUUCUUAAAACUCUUUAACAGCUUAUUUUUAAACUACAUGGACGUUUUAACUCAUAAUUAUCCAAACUUCUGUAUUCAGAUAUUGAUUUAAACUCUUUUGAAUGAGAAAUCUUGAAACUGUUUGGUGAUUAGGCUUUCUUUUUCACAUGUGAUUCAGUCGACGCUCAUGCCAGCCACCGUAAUGUCAAUAUCUGAAUACCUUCCAGCACCACCGUCUCAAGGCGGGUACUCUGUUCACUGUUAGCGGAAUCGAGGACGUCUCAACCGUCUCACCACCUUUCACUCUAACCUUGUGCUCCAUCCUCCUCUCGAGUUCUUGCUCAUCAUGGUCAAUCUCUCUUCUUCAUCUUAUGAUUUGAAUCAGCUUUGAAACUGAACUUUGAUAUUGGAUUACAGAUUGUGGAGUUUUAGUUCGUCUACGAAAUUAAAUUGUCUCCUUGAUGUUAUGUAUGUUGUUUGAUUGUGAGUAAAAUCUAAAUGGUGUGUCUUUUUAAAAUAGAAAAUUUAGAUCUUGGAUUUUUUUGGGUUUAACCACAAGCGCAACAUUGUUCUAUAGCUGUGUUUGAGAGAGAUUUAGUGUAUAUAAUGUGUUUUCGAUGCAAAAAACAUAAAUUCUUUUGCUAUUUAUCUGUGUUUAGAUAGUGGAGCAUUACGUGGCUCUAAGGUGUGAGUAUUGUUGGGUACUUUCACACUAACAAGAGGAUUGAUGAUGUGGAGCUUUGUGGUGAUCACUUCUCUCGCUAUUUUCCUUCCUCACCAAUUCUGUAAAAUUUUGUAUCCUUUGCACUCGGGUACAUUAGUUGAUUGAAGCACUAACUAGGUAACCAUCUUAUGCUAUUUUAUUUUUGAACAACAAAAAUCUUGAAGCCUUAUCAAAUGGUAAAAAUCGAAGGAAUGUGAUGCAGGUUGGUAUUUUAACGAGGACAAAGUUUUGGACAACUUAGUAUAGCCUUUUUUUUGUUUUCAUACAGUUUUUUUUGUGUUCAGACAACUUAGUAUAGCUUGGAAAUGAAAUUUAGAAUUAGCCAAUUAUGUAAGGAAUAUUUAUAUAUUAAGGUCACUCUACACAAGUAUAUUGUUAUUGCUAUAUAAGACAAAAUAUAGUUAAUAAUAUAUGAAGUCUUAGAAGCUCGAAUUUUUUAGUAUUUGCAUUCAUUAUUUUUACUAGAUCCUCUGUUCGCGCUACGCGCGGAAUAUAAAUUUUAAAUAUAUUAUUCAUAAUUAUUAUUAAUAUGUGAAUAUUUUUACUUUGUAUUUAAUUUAAUUUUAAUGUUUAAUAGUAUCUUUAGCAGUUUUCUAUUAUUUUUUCUACGUUUUUGUUUUCUAUAAAUUUAGAAAUUUUAAAAAAUUUGAUAUAUGUACCACUUAGCUUUGGUCAUAUGAUAUGUCGAUAUUUUAUGAACACACUGAAGAUGGUAUUGAAAUCAGCUUAUCUUUUAUGUCAUGGAGGAGCGAAUACAAAAAGAAAUUUGAUAUGGAACAUAUAGCCAUUUUCAUGUAACUAAUAUUUGAUUUAAGUGUAUUUAUAUAUAAAUUUAGCGCUAACUAUAAUGGAAACAAAAAGAAGCCACACCCCCUUUUGCAGGUGAAUACUAAUUUUUAUUCAUUAUUUUUGAUUGGUUUUAAAAUAUGUAGUAGAUGGUAAAUUAAAUUGGAUUUUGUGUGUGUCUUUGUUGUAAUACUGGUUUGCAAUGUAUUAUUAUUUGUAAUCAUUUUAUUCUCAUGUGUCAGAUAUUCGUGUAUCCUUUUCGUUUUAAAUGUUUAUCUUUUGGUGAAUAAAGAACAUACACUUAUUUAUAAAGAGGAUAUAUAUAUUUCAACAAAGAGUAUUAUUUUUAUUUGAAUAAUAUAUGUUUCUGGUUGCAAGAAUACUAUAACAUAUUUAUGUAUAUGAGAAAAUGCAUUUUUGAAAUCAAUAAAUGUAACAUUUUAUUUUCUUCUAAAGUUAAUGUCCAUGUACAGUUAUGUAUUGUAUUUAAAUAUGAUAUUUAUAUUUCCGAAGUUCAUAUUCUUCUGAACCACAGGAUACAACUUAUUGUUUGUAGAAUUUUGCUCCUACUAUAAAAGUGUAGUAAUUUUUUUGAUUUCUCAUUUUUAAAUGUGUUGUAAUUGAUAGUUUUUUUUAAUGUAAUGUAAUUGAUAGUAAGAUUUCAUUUGCUGUGAACAUACAUUUAUAUAUUGUUGGAUUAACGCUUCUAAACAGCCGGUUAAUUGUUUCUUAGCAUAUUGAUUUCUCAUGUAUCACAUAAGAAUAUUUGUCAAGCUCUCUUUUUCGACUGCUUGUUUUAUGUGUUUAUAGUUCAGCUUUUUGUGGAUACAUGUUGUUGUUUAAUGUUUCACUUGUAUAUUAACGUUACUUUUGUUGUUAUUGUAUGUAAUUAUUUUGUGGGAAUGAUUGAUACAACAAUGAUUAAUAUGUGAUUAUAUGAUUUUUGUGUUAAUUAUUGGUGUUAACUUUUGGAGUAUAUUUAUUGUAGUUUAUUAUUUUGUUGCUGUCAUUAAUUGUUGCCUAAAUUCUUUAUUUGAACCAAUUUUAAAUGUUUUUUUUCUAACUUUUGGUUCAUCUUAGUUUCAAAAAAAAAACUUUUGGUUCAUCUUAUUUAUUUCUUUUUGUGUUUUGGCCAUAAUAUUUAUUUUGUAUGUAUGGUUCCAUUUUUUAAUUUUUUAAUUCAUUUGUUAUCUUUUUCAUUUCAGCCUCGUCUAUGUAAAGACAGUUUCCGGGUCUAGCUCUAGUAUUUGUUUUAGUUUUUGGUAUUUUUGGAAAAAAAUUUUAAGGUAGUUAUUUAUAUUUAUUUCUGAGUUUGAAAUAUUCUCUGUUGAUUCCAAUACCAUGGCGUUAAAUUUAAGCCGAUUGUCUUCAUGGUCAUUGCCGGAACAUUGAUUAGACCUUGAUUUUGUUGUAAUAUUAAAUUCAAUUUUUUUCAAUUUAUGUAAGAGAAGAAAACAGAACUGCUUGCCUAAACCAUUCAAGCAAUUAGUCCAACUUCUGUGUCUAAUAUAUAUAAUUAGUCAUGUUUAAGACCAAACAACAAAAACGAUUAUAAAGUAGAGCACAUUUGAAUAUGGUUGAAUGUGACUAUACUUUUUGAAAACUAAAUAAAUAUACAUUUUUAAAUCUGAAAACUAAAACAAAGUUUUAUCUAAACAAAAUGAAAAUCAAUACUAUGAAAUUUUUGUUACUUUGAAUCAAAUUUAUCGUCAAUCUAGAAAUAUGGUCAGAGAGUUUAAUGACUUUCUCAAAACUUUUCAUGGCUUCCCUUUUCUAUGGAUACUGCUCAAAUCCAAACCUUCUUCAACAAACAGAGCAUAGAGCUCUUGUCUCCCAACAGUGAGUGCAGCUGACACUGGGAUCAGCGAAGACAAAAAAUAAACCAUGAGCACAUCCAGUGGCUCGAUCCUUCAUGAGCAUCACUUCUAAACCUCACCGAAACUCUGAAAUGUACUCUCGAUCUUCAGUGCGUCUUCCAAGAGAGAUGACCGAUGAACAGCUUACAUGAUUCAAUUUUCAUUCUGCAACAGAAUUUGUUCCCGAGUUAUACAUCUAGUAAACAUCUCGAUCUGACUGAAAAAAUCAUAUAUGUCUAAAAAAAAUAUAAAACUCAGAAUCAUCUACUGGAAAAAUCUGAUUGAAAUAAUUGAAUCGAACAAAACUUUAUGAUCAGAUCGAGAUCAGCUUUACUAAGAGGGCCGAGACCAAAAUCCGACCCGACGCUCUCAAAGACGAUGUGGAAUUUGCCGGUGUUGCGGUCCUAGAAUUUUCCGGAGAAGUGGAGCUAGCAAUCGUAGUUUCUGUUAUAUUAAAACUGCGUAAUUGGUCACCUGCGGUCCAUGUUCGAAACUACGCUAGGAGUGAGUCGGGCUGUUGGUUGGUGUCUAGCGAGUUAACGAAAAAUCGGAGAUUAAGCUGGAGUACGUGGGGAUUAGUUUUCAGUGGUUUUCUUAAUUUACGUAUAACUAUAAUCUAUUAAACAUUUUUCUGCGUUUCUUUUGAAAGACGACGUGGUCCAGUGGCAAAAGACGGUUUUAUGACGGAGGAUGUCACGGGUUCGAAACGCAGAUCCUUUCUUUUUGUUUUAGAUUUUUUUUUUCAUUAAUGGCAAACUCGUAAUAAAAUCGUCUUCUUCCUUUUAGGGCUUUCACUUCUACUGCGAAAUUUGCAUGGCCGCCUCGAACUUUUUUAAAAUAAAACAUCAUUUUCUUGCAAUUUUCUUAUCAAUUUUUGCAUAAAAACUGUAGAUUUGCGACGUAACAUCAAAUUCCAAGCGUUUAAAAUUCAAAAGCCUGGACUUUUUUGAUGAAUCCGAUUUUUUGUCCGAUUUUGAUGAAAUCGCGGCGGUUCUUCACCGCCGAGCGUUGCAAGGCCAUGUACUCGGCCGGGUUGCCGCGUUUUCGAACAUGGCCUGCGGUUGAUGAACUAUACUAUUCGUUGGUUGAGUAUUCCCGAGUCAAUGUGAAUAUUGAACUGAAAAAUUGUAUUUAGAACUGAAGCCGAGAUGAUGAAAUCGACUCAAACAGACGAAUCAAUCUAUUAUUAGUGACUUUAUAGGUUGAAUCAAUAUAUAAUUAUGAGUGCUGGAGGAAGGUUUGGGAGAUAACACAGUCCUCUCAAAAAACGUUUUUGCAAGAGGAAAAAAGAUGAGAAGAUCAAUCGAAAUAGGCCCGAAGCUUUUUGAGAAGUUUGAUGGUGACGUGACCAAACAAUGCUCUCUGAUUGGUUGAAUUUAAUAAAUGACGUGGACAGCUUUAGAGUGGAGUAUAUCGGGCUUUUAGUAUAGUAGUAUAGUAUUUUAAUCAUACUCUUUAGUCAUGUGAAUUAAACAUGCAAUUUAUGUGUAUAGUGUCUAAUUGUGCUAUAUACAUUAGCAAAAUUCUUCACGUAUGAUUAUUAUUUUUUAUUAGGUAUGAAUAUACUAAAAUAUAAUAUUCAGAUUCUAAAUAUCACAAUAAAUAUUUGAUAAAAUUUUAUUUUAAUAUAAAUAUGAUUUGUUAAACAAUAUAUAAUGAUUUUUUAUUAAUAUUGACUAAUAUUUUUUACUGAGAUAUGAAUAAUCAUCUAGUAAUUUUAAAAUGAUAAAAAAUCUAAAUAAUUGACAUGAUCAAUAAUUGUGAAUAAGUAAGAUAAUAAAGACUGCAUUCUUUAGACACGUUUCUAACAUGACAUGUAACUUUGCAUAUUAAUCAGUAAUACAGUUAAUUUAUAAUUCUAGAAAUCAAAUCUAACCUGUAAGUUUGAAAGCCAAAUAGUUCGAAUUCGAAUACUUAAAUAUAUGACCUACAAUAGUUAUUCAAUGAUUCUUAUUCUUUGAAAUAUAAUUUUUAUUUUCACCCUAUAAAUUUAGGUAAAAUAUUUUUUUACCAAAAUUGAGACUGUCAUUAUUUUAAAAUUUACUUUGGUUUAAACUUUUUUAUUUGUAUGGAAAAUUAGUGAUAGUCUGCUUACUUUAUUUUUCCAGUGAAAUGGAGUAUACUGCUUCUAUUGCUUGUCGCUAUAGCUUUAGUAACAAAAGACUAUACCAAUAGGAUUUAGUCCUCAUCACUCCAUACUCUAUAUACAGGGUGAUUCUCAAAUUUUGGGGAUCACAGACAAUUAGUAAAAUAAAUUUACUAAACAAAUUGAAAACUCUAUGUUUAUGUAUUUUAAGUUUAAAAUUUUAUGAGGUAUAUACUCUACGUCCAAAACGGUUCUGUCCAUGUGACUAUUCAGUGGAGGAGCUUGUUUAAAUUUGAUCUGUUUUCACCUUAAAACUUUGAUAUUCUACCAUUCUUUGAUAGAUAAAUCCGAAAGCGAAAACCAUAAAAAUCACUAAAACUAAUCUUCUAUGGUCUAAUAUUUCUUCAAGUCAAUAUAAUAUUUUAAAUAGUGAUGCUUCAAUGAGCAAAAUUAUAUCUCAAUCGAUUAACCUAAUCCAUCGACUCGACUAAAACUAAAACAUGCUUGAGAACAUCAUAGUUUUUUUUUUGCUAAAAUGUUAACAUCAUAGUUGACAAAGGGUUUGCAUAUUAUAGAGUAGGUUUGCAUAUAAUAGAGUUCAAACGUCACACUAAGUGAAAAGAACAUUUAUUGAUCAUUUGGCUAAUCAGGUUGAUUCAGCAGACACUAAUCAAUGCAAAUUUAACUGAUAAAUUUCCUGAAAGAGUUCAAUGUUAACAUGAGAAAUUGUAACGUUAGUAAAACUUAACGUAAAUAACAUGAAAGGUUUGUUAUAACUUAUAACAUUCACUGAGGUCACAAAAGAAGAAAACAAAUAGGUAAAAAUAUGUUAACAUGAAAGGUAUGCUAUAACUUCUUAAAUUAUUAGUAUCUUAUAUGAAAUUUAAUAUAUUUUUGUUGAAUAUAAUUAGUUUUUUUUAUGAAAGAAUAUAAUUAGUUUCUUAUUUGGAAAUGGGGGAACAAUUAUUUUUUUAUUACAACUUGAUAAGUAAUGGUCAAGUAAAUAUUCAUCUGAACUUUACUCCGUAACCGUAAAUAAUAAAAACUAUAUAAUCUCACCAUAUAUAGAAACACAACAUGCAUGUCAUUUGGUCUCUUAUUGUUAUUGCUCACUUGUGACGUUGCUAUUUGUUGUGCAAAUCGAAAACAUAAUAUCUACUACACUAUACUCAUGAGGAAAAUGAUUCAAGAAAAGCGAAUAACAGUAUAAGGUUCAGACUACACUCAAAAACUCAUCGAGAAGAAGUUAAACACACACAGUUCAUGAAUCAUAAAGUAGAACAGAACAUAAGAGUUAUUUUAACCAAACAACCUAUAAGUACUUAUGACAUCAAAAUCAUAUUCAAAAGCUUGAAGCUUUUUUUAAGACUUUAGUUGCUCCUUUCCCUUGUAGAGAGUUGAAAUUGAAACAUCAGAAACCUUGACAACCUUGUACCUAACUCCAGGAAUAUCUCCCACAACAUGACCCUCAGAAAUAAAGAACUCGUCCUGCAGACAUUAACAAAAGAUGAUUCAACAUUUCACAAAACUAAUCCACGUUUAGUAAAUGGCUCACAGCAUAACCUUCUUUCCGUUCUUGAUAAGUUGUACUCUAGCACACUUACGGAUGACAGAGUUAGGCUGCUUAACCUCGAUUCCGUUGCAUAUUCGAACACUAAGACUCACGCAUCAACACCACUGUCCACACUAAAAUUAAGCAGAUAAAGAAGCAAAUUCAUAUAGUUCUUACGUUUUCUGAUGGACGAUUCCUUUUGCAUGAGAAGGACCCAACAAAAAGCUUCUUCCUUUCAUUUCCUAUGGUCAAUAGAAACGGAACAAAGAAAAUAAUCGUCUACCUGCCUGAACCCAUCUUUGUAUCUCUGUCCAUCUAACACUCGUUGUGCCUACAAAAUCACACAUGAGAUUAAAUGUCACAUCUAAGCACAAAUACAAAAUCUCAAAUCUUAUCCAUAUAUGAUGAAGUUUAUAAGUGAAUUAUACCUCACACAAAAGCAUAUCUUCUUCAGAAAACCAACAUCUUCACUUGAAAUCUGAGUUUAAAUAUGUAUAUCAUCUGUUAACAAAAGAUCCAUAACUGGAUUUAAGAAAAAACUCUUGUAGUUCUAACACAACGCAUAAAUAUUUUGAUUACGGAAACAGGUUAGCAUAAUCAUUUAUAUCAGUAUGAUUCAAACUGAUUGACCCACCUUCUUCACAAUCUCUCCGUCACGGGAAUUGGUUUUUUUACCGGAGAUUCUCGGAGGGUUGAAAACGGUGAUAGCUGUAACCUGGUAAGAACCUGGAUGAUGAUGAUUCAAUGGUGAAGUAGCUUCGACGGCGGUUGUGCUUAGAAUUCUGGUGGAUUGCAUGGCCAUAGAUGUAGCUUCUUCAGAAUAGGUUUUGAUUUAGAUUAAGACAUAUAUUUAUAUAAGAAAGGAUCAAGGGAGGUGAAAAGAAACAUUCAAGGAUUGUUUUAAGAACAUUAUUGAUUAAUGAUUGAGAAGGUUAUGCAAAAACAAAUCAAAUCGCAGAAGACGAAGUGGAAGAGUCAAGAGACUCGAAGCUUGAAACAACGAUACAUGUUUCUCUGUUUUUUCUCUUCAUGGGCUGGGUGGGGUGGGCCACACUGAUAAUUUUCAUAAACCCACACGAAAGUUCAAUCUAUAUCAGCAAUGGUGAUAUGGCAAAAUUAAACUUUCUCAUUGGUUGAUUAAAUUUGCCUACGUGGAUAGUUUAGAUGUUGAUCUUAUUCAACUUUUAGUAUUAUAUAUAUAUAUAUAUUGAUUGCAUCCUGCACAAAUUAAAUGCUGUCAGUGUUAAGAUGUAUAACAUGACUAAACUGUCUACUUGAAUUGUGUGCGCAACCAUCUUGACACCAAGCUCAUAUUGUUUAUUUUUUUUUCUAUUUGAUGCAAUUUAAUUUUGCUGUAGUUAAUGUCAAUUUUUUAAAUUUUUUGUUUUUUUUUCUAACACCUUUUUCUAUAUUAUAUGAUAGCUUUCUGUGAAAGAUGCUUCUAAUAACUGGAAAAUGGUUGGAACAGAUGUAGGAAACAAACUAUUCUUGAAAGAGCCAUCAGCCAAUGUAAUUUUGUUAGAUUGCAUUUCAUCUGAGUCCUGAGAAAUGCAAAGUUGUGACAUAUUUUGUCAGAUUACAUUUGAUUAUGUCUCCAAGUAAGCUAUAAUAUAUACACGACCUGAAGAUGAAAAUACAUGGAAGACAUGAAGUGCUUUCUCUAUAUUUCUCUAACGUGCAAGAAUAUUUUUUCCCUACAAAUAAUAGGAAUCCUAAAUAAUAAUUUUGGGAACUUUUUUCUAAUAAUAGAUCAUUAUUUUUUAUUAAAACAAAAUGAGCAGUGGACGACAUAUACAUGUAUAUGCUAGACAAUUAUCAUAAUUUAAUCUCCUAAAUUGUAAACCAACAAAGUAAAAAAUCUAACUAAACAAAAUUUACAAUCCCCAUAAAAGAUCAGGACUAUUAACACAAAAAGAUAUUAAAGACCAAGAACCAGAAAAUACUAUAAAAAAGCAAUACCAACAAAAUACAAGCUAGAAUGCACUUGACAUUUUUUUUUUUUAAGAAAAACUUCUUUAUUUAUUUUGCAAAACCGGAUUACAAGGACUAACAAACCUACCUUACUCAAAAAAUCUCCAAGGGACUUAACAAUGCCCUUAGAAAAUACUUAACCAAGAACCUAAGUAAGUAAGAGAGGUGCUGUCUGUGAUUCUCAUGUUUCGAGAUAGAGGAUCAAGCUUUGACCGAAUAAUCUGCUUAACUUCUUGAAUAAUAGCUUGUGUGGGCCUGCUCACAGAUGAAUGUAAGCGGGCGUUUCUCUCCUUCCAAAUCAUAUAGAGCACAGCUUGGAAUAUGAGCUUAACAAUGAGGAGAAUAUUUGUGUCUGUUGAAGAGGUCUUUAGCCACCUAAGACACUCUUCAAACAGGACGGGAGGAUGUACACGGGUACGAGAACAGAAAUACGCCCACACUUCCGAGCUGUAUGCACAGUCGAAGAACAGGUGCUGUCUAGACUCCUCAUCGCUUGAGCAUAAGAGACAGCUCGGGGAAACCUCAAUACCCCACGACCUCAGUCUGUCUCGAGUAGCUAAUCUGUUCCAAGCAACCAACCAAGCAAUAAAAGCAUGUUUGGGAAUUCUACCUUUGAACCAGAUUUGAGCAUGCCAGGGAACCGGAGGAGAGGGAGGGUGCAGAGCAGACCACGUCUUAGCGGUAGAGAAGAUAGUUGAAGGGGAAUCAUUUCCCGUUCUCCAUAGGUACUUAUCAACACUAGAUGAUAGCACAAUCUGAUCUGGCGAUGGCAAACAUUGCUUCAGUAAUGUGAUUAUGGCGUUCCUACUACGAGACGCACUUAACCACCACUCUCCAUUUACUAAAGCUUCUGCCACCGUCGCAUCCCUGUGCAGACCCGAAGCUGCAGGUCCUCUUCCUUCUGUUAAGUGGAACAAGAAACCAAGAUCCGUCCAAUUAUCGUACCAGAAGCUAGCUAAAUGCCCAGACCCCACUUCGCAACAGACAAAGGGGCGGGCUAACGUCCUCAGCUUACACAGCUGCUUCCAGAUCCAGCUGUCCCCUCGUCGAGGUUCCAGUUCCCAGAAAUUUUUGGAUCCAAUUUUAUGCCUCCACAUCCACGAAACCCACAAUGAUCCCCCUGCUGCAAACAGAAGCCAUAUAAGCUUCAGUGCCAGCACCUGAUUCCAAUCUAUUAAUUUUCUCAAUCCUAAGCCACCUUCAUUCUUCGGUGUGCAGAUAAUGUCCCAGCUUAUCUUCGCACCUCUCGCAGACUGUGGAGCUCCACUCCAUAAGAAAGCAUUACACAUUCUUUCAAGGAUCGAGAUGCAUUCACUUGGCAAGAUGAAAAUCGAUGUCCAGAAGGAGAUUGUGGAGUAAAUGACUGCUUGAAUUAGCUGGAACCGUCCCGCAAAGGACAGAUGUUUCACUGUCCAAGAAUUAAAUCUUGCCUCCACUUUGUCGAGCAAAGGUUUGAAAUCUGACUUCUUCAUUUUCUUGGAGGACAAUGGAACUCCGAGGUAUCUCACCGGCAGUGCCCCUUGCUUUAUUCCCAUAGACUCAGCCAAUUCUUGACACAAAGAGUGACUUCCACCAUCAAUCAUAAGCUCAGUCUUAUCUCUGUUGAUACUCAGACCCGAGAUUUGCUUAAACUCAUCCAAAAUCUCCAAAAUCCCUCGCAACGAGUCCUCUGAACCAUCAAAGAAAACCAAGACAUCGUCUGCAAAACUCAGGUGCGUGAUUAGGGGUUCCUCGCAUGAUGGAUGUGGCCUGAAGCGAUUGUUCACAACACCAGCAUCUAGCAUUUUUGAUAGAACGUCCAUGGCAAGCACAAAGAGGAGAGAUGAAAUUGGAUCUCCUUGCCUGAGACCUUUUUUCCCUUGAAAAAAUCCAUGAAGCUCGCCAUUCACUACUACACUGAAGGAAGUAGUAGUGACGCACUCCUUAAUCCACCCAAUCAGCUUAUCAGGCAGUUCAAUGGCUUCUAGCAGGUUCAGAAUAAAGUCCCAACUUAUAUUAUCAUACGCCUUCGCCAAAUCAAUUUUCAAGCAUCCCCGAGAAACUCUACCUUCCACAUGAAAGUCAGUUACUAGUUCCGAGGCCAGAAGAACAUUCUCACAUAACAACCUUCCUUGAAUAAAGCCUACUUGAUUUCUUUGCACAACUUCAUCAAUGAAUAGUUUGAUCUUCUUUUUUAGAAGUCUCGCUAUCACUUUGUAGACAGUAGAGCAUAAGGAAAUUGGCCUGAACAUAGAUAGCCUAUCAGCGCCAGUUAUCUUUGGAACCAGGGAGAUGGCUGUGGCGUUGAACUUCCUUAACAUUCUCCCAGCCACAAAAAACUCUCUUAUUGCAGCCAUAACAUCAUUUUCCACUACUGACCAAGCACUCCAAAAAAACUCAACUGGAAACCCAUCAGGCCCCGGCGCUUUACUCUUGGGCAUUGACAUUACAGUCGCGAGAAUCUCCUCAUUGCUGGGAAUACCACAUAAAGACUCAGUCAAGGCCUCAGGACAUCUAUACGUCAUAGUAAUCUUCAGAUCAUCCACUGAAGGGGGGGGGAGACCAGGGUUCAAACUGAUCCAAGCAGGUGCUGAAAGUAAGACACCACCAUAUCCUUGAUCUGUGUCUUAUUUGUGAUUCUUGUUUCCUGCCCAUCAAAUAAAAAUCUGAUGGCGUUCCUUGCCUGAUGAGCGAUCACAGCUUUAUAAAAAAAUUUAGUAUUAGCAUCACCCUCCUUCAGCCAUCUGAUCCUCGAUUUUGUCCUAUAGAAGAUCUGUAGCGCAGAGUCCAAGAAUUUCCACGUUUUCCUUGCCACAAACUCACGCCUGAACAAAGACUCUGUUGGGGAGACUAACAUCUCACUCUGAAUCUCCUGAAGCUCCUCCAUAGCCAGUCUUGUUUUUUGUUGGAUGUUUCCGAAACCAAGUCGAUUAAGACUUCUGCAGGCCUUCUUUACCUCUUUCAGACGCUGACCCAACGAAAACAGUUCUGACCCCACUGCUAUCUCCUUCUGCCAUGCUGCUAAUAUCUCCUCCUGGAACUUAGGAUGAGAAGCCAGAAAUGAAAAAUAUUUGAAACUCACUUUCCUAACUUCUGGAUCUGCUCGCAAAUCAACUACACAAGGUGCAUGGUCAGAUUCUCCUUGCGCCUCAAAUUGAGCAACCACAUCUGAGAAUACCUCCCUCCAAGCUUCAUUCCCCAUGGCUCUAUCAAGCUUACGAAUAAUGGGAUCUUCUGGUCUAUUAUUCGUCCAAGUAUAAAACACUCCCCUUAACUCCACAUCCUCCAACUCACAUUGGAAUAGACAAUCUCGAAACUCCUCCAUCCCUCUCAGCGGUAAGUCAUAGGGUAGGAUAGAAAAAUGCUCAGAUGCCGUUAGAAUUUGAUUAAAGUCUCCAAGAAUAAGAAAGGGUUUAUCCUUGACCAGGUGAUGGUCCGAAAUAUUCACUAUCUCUUCCCAAAGCUGCCUUCUCUGACCUUCAGUGUUAUACGCAUACACAAAACCCACAGUUAUAUAUGUCUGAGUAUCAGGAUCAAAGACCCCACACACAAUCAUCUGCUCUGAUUUCUUGAACACAACCACUGAUAACGACUGUUUCCACACCACCCAAAUCCUACCUCCAGCUACCUCCGAAUAGUUACUAACACACUCCCAACCUUGAAGUAAAGCAGACAUCACAGCAGCAGAAUUCUCUUCCCUCACUCGAGUUUCCACCAAAGCACCUACUGACGACCCCAAAUUAUUCAACCAACUACGGAUAUUAUUCUGACGACCAAAAUUAUUUAACCCCCUGACACUCCAAGAAAAGAUCUUCAUAUAUACAAGAUUGAAGACCGACUUGCGGUUAGCGAGCAGAAAUCCCAGUCGAGGUUGCACCCCGAGAUAAGAUAGAUGAAUCUUUUGGAGGAGUUUUCUCUAGUAAGGAAGCCUUCCACAAAUUCUGUCUAAGCGCUUUGCGAACAGCCUUAGGAUGCUUGAACCAAACCCUCUCAUCUUCGUCUGGAUCAAUACCAACACCAGGAGACUCUGGCUCAGACACUACUUCUUCCUGAUCUGACACCUCUAGUUCACUCACACUAAGAGACUCUUUAGGUGGAACUACUUGUACAACGCUCUUGUCUCUAGCGAACUCAUUUUUCCCCCUGAAGUUGGCAGUACCUUCAAUAGCAAGAUCGAGAGCUUCCAUGUCUCCAGAAAGAGACACCGGGGCCUCCUUCUCCUCAAUCUGAGACUUCGAGAGAGCACUCUCAACUACCUCCGUAGCGCGAGAUCUCAACCUACCCCUUCUCUUAGAUUUCUUCUUCUUCUUUUUUUCCACCAGCACUUCACUCUUCGCCACCUGAGACUCGGGAAGUUCAAGUCCUACUUCCAGCAUAUUUGACUGCAGGUUAAUCUCUGUAGAAGUUGAGACCAUCCUUUCUUGGGACAGACCCACCUGCUCCAGUACCUUCUUCUUCUUGAUUAUAGGUUGCGUGCAGCGGUUGAUAAGGUGGCCAAACUUAUCGCAGUUUAUACACUUUGGAGGGAGGCUUGGGUAGUCAACUUUGAUUCGCACCGCAUUACCUUCAGUAUCUCUAACUUCGACCAGUUGUGGUGGAGCCGCCUCAAGAGUAAUCUCUAUCUUCACCUUAGUGUCACCAAAGUGAUAUGGGUCCAACCUUGACUUUUCCGUAUGGAGAGGCUCUCCUAUCGCACUCGCUACGACGCUUAUCCCAUCAAGCGAGUACAACUGAGGUGGGACGUUCCGCAGAAUAGCCCAAGUUGGAGCAGUCUUUAGCUCCUUCUCCUGUAGAUUUCCUUCUAGAGACCAAGGGAAAACUGAGAAAGCACAAUGAUCAACUUGCCAGUAACCCACCUGUAACACCCACUCUCUCGUUUGAACUGAGGGAACGUAUAUGAGGCAGCUGGUUGGAGAGACCGUUCGGACAGUGAUGUUUCCAAACUUUCCCCAAACAGGGUUUAAAUCGGCGAUGAUUUUUGCUGGGUGAGGUCUUCGACCGUGGAAAUGAGCCACUAUGUGGUCUUUCCAUAGCGUAGAAGCUUGUAGAAGAACAGCCGGUGGAGCUUGGACCACUGGUGUACCGUCUUCGAGAUAGGUUGGAUUCGAGAUCUUACGGAGGUUCCUGAGAGACGAUUUGAACCUUUCGGCAUACGUCGGAGCUGAUGAAGAAGGAAUCUCAGCCGGAAUGGACGAGACCUGAAGCUUAGCAUCGAUCUGAGAAUCGAAAGCUUGUACUUCUUUGUCCGAGACUGAUCGAGGAACUUGAGAUUUGGAAACAGCAGCAGCGUAAGAGGCCAUUUUGUAAGAAGGGGGGAGGGAGAGUUCUCGUCUUCAGGCGUGAGGCCUGGCGGCGGCGGCGAAAGGGGAGAAACCCUAAUCGCACAUUUUAUCGCAUGAGAGAGAAAAUCGCUGUUCCGUUUUAUCAUUUAAAAUCGCACUUGACAUUUACAAUACCCAUAAAAGAUCAGGACUAAAAAUUGCAUACAAAAGGAAAGAAUUCAAACAAAAAAUACAUUACAUCCAUACGCGUGGGACCGAUUCUAGGCACCAUGCAUUUACGUUAGUACAUUUUGAAAGAAAAACAUACAAUACCCUUACACUAAUCACUAUGUUUUUUUUAUCAAAUCAUUAUGUUAUUUCGAUAGAAAAAUGUAUUAAAUAAUUAGCUAUGUUUUGACCAAAAGAUAAAUAAUUAGAUAAACACUUAUACACACACAGUUAAAAAAAACCAGAAAAUGCUAUGGUUUAAAUGUUAACUAAUUCAUUAACUAAGCCAACUGGUUAAGCAAACCAGGUCAUUACAGUUUUAUAAAAAACAUAAAAUGUUUCUACUCAUUUUUUUUCUCAUUGAGAAAGCUUCAGUUCAAAAUUUAGCUAAUUCAUUAACUAAAUCUAUUAGUUAAGCAAAUGGGGUUAAGUAAAUUUUGUUGGUGUUAUAUAAUCAUAAAUUUUUGAAAAAUUUAAAUAUUUUUUUUAAAAAAUAGACUAUUGGUUGUAAAUUUAAGGGGAUAGUCCAUUAAAUUAUUUAGAGACUAAUUGGAAACAAACUUUAUAAAUAGUUUUAACUGAACUGAAACAUUAAAACAAUUUAACCAAUUAAACACCAUAACUAAAAUUUAAUUAAGUUUUGAUCAUUAUGCUCUUCACCUUAUAUAUAAUUUUUAAUUAAAAAUUUUAUUUUUUUGAAUAGCGUAAGACAAAAAGAUUGAAUAAUUUAAAAUUAUUUUAUAUUUAUCGAUAGCUAUUUAUAUGUUUAUGAUAGAUUAUAAAAUUUAUAUAUUAAAAUAAACAUACUAACUAUAUAAUCAAAAUUUAAAUUUAAACAAAAAUCCGGGCGUAGCCCGGACCGAUCCUAGUAUUUGUAAUGAGACACCGAGGAAACAAAUUUUCACAGAACUUAAAGAAAAAAAUAAUUAUAUUAUCUUUGGUAGUGUAGUGGCAGAAAAAAAACAAUAAUAUUAUCUCUGUCUUAUUGGAGAAGGAAUUGUUAAUAACAAUUUAUUAUUGCCACUGGAAUCAUUAGAAAUGAUAUAUUUUGUUAAUACGAGAUAUUUUUUAAUAAAAUAAUAUAUAUACAUAUAUCGGUAUACUGUAAGUGGGCCACGAACCACGAGACAAAUAUUAGUUAAGUUUGAGCCCACAAAAGUUUAAUAAUGGACCACUGGCUAGUUUGGAUUUUGCCAGGUGGGUCCCAUUUGUUUUCAAGAUUUCGAAGUUGAACCCCAUACGUUUUUAAUUAUUAGCUAAGGGACACUUGGGAUUGUGUGGCUCUUUGCCAUGGAAUCCAGACAAAAAAAAUAUAAAGAUAAAACAAUAAGGAUCAAAAGAAAAGGAAAAGAGAAAAAUAAAGGAGAAACACAAGCUGUAAAGUUUGACAAUAGGAGAAUUUGAGAGCAUAUAAUCCAAAUUUUUGUGAUGGUUAAGAAAAAAAGGUAAUGAUUGGUUGCCUUAGACUUUUGUAAUAAUUAUAUACAUACAUGUUUAAUGUCAUGAUAUAGACUCACUAUUUAUUAGAAACUAAGUAUACGAAAAGACACUAUAGUUUAUUAGUUUGAAAAAACUAAGUUCGAAUUUCAAACUAUUCAAUUUCUUGAAAAUGAUAAGAUGUAAAUUUUUAGAGGUUUCAGAGUACCGUAGACAGAAUUGUUCGAGGGACGAGUUUCUGCCUCAUACAGCUCGGGCCGAAGACCGGGGGAAAUUUAGGUGAUCUUAUGUUGCGGAGAGAGCAUGUCUAUCAAGAAUAUCAAUGACAUAUAUGCAGAACCGUCCGUCGAUCCAAAUGUUUCGGGAAAAACUUCAUCGUAGAAUCAUUGUUCUUGGACUUGUCAUUAUUAUCGCAUAUAUUGCAUAUAGUUGAUCAUAUGUAAUUGAGUUAGAGAUUAUAUGAUGAUGUAAUGUGUACUAUUUAUUGUUUAAGAAAAGCAAAUAUAUAUAUAUAAUCGGUUUAGUUUUGAAGCUGCUCCACUGUACGAUUUAUUAUAAAAGUAAGGACUUUUUUAAGAAAAUGGUUUACGUGGCAGCAUCUAGUUCAACUUUACAACUUUUAAAUAUCUUUUUUAAGAAUAUAUAUAUUUUUAUACCAAAAGCUUGUGAAGGCAGUGGUAUGAGAUACAGCUAUCAAAAAUAUCAUCGUUAAACACACUACACUACACAGUAAGAUAUCAAGUCCCAAAUGGUGUUGUUGCUUUGACAAAAAACAUCUCUGCAUUAAAAGAACGACCGACAAAGAAAAACCGAAAGAAAAAGGGUGAUGGUAAAAAAAUGUGGAGGUGCUAAUUUGGCAAAGGUUGUAUGUUUUUAAAGUUUGCACGCGUUGGGCCCCCCUUGACUUCCUUCCACUAUUUCCAUAUGUUUCAAUAUUAUUUCCACUAUCAGAAUGUUUUGACAAACUUUGUUACAUUCGUUUAAUUAGUAAUUACAUCUCCCCACUGCAUCUGAUUCUUACCUACACGAAUCAUAAAUUCUUCAUACUGUUUCAUUCUUGUAAUUUCCAAAAAACAGAUCCCAACUACAGAGUCCACUAACUGAUGAUCCGACCAAACACAAGAACAUAUCACUAUUUUACGUACAAGUUCGCUAGCUCUAGCUAUUUUUCCCUAAAAUAAAUUCACCACCAAAAGCACUCAAACCUUCUCAAGAAGAAUGAAUAAUUUUGUUUUGAAAAUUAGAACUUCAGUGGUUUUGCUUUUUUUUGGGUUUUUUUGGAACUGAACCUGUCAGAAUUAUAUAAACACUAAUUGUACACAAUGCUUAAAAGCACCUCCCAAAAAAU
rnacentral:lncRNA from 1 species